rnacentral:rRNA from 1 species
ACGGGUGAGUAACACAUCGGAACGUGCCCAAUCGUGGGGGAUAACGCAGCGAAAGCUGUGCUAAUACCGCAUACGAUCUACGGAUGAAAGCAGGGGAUCGCAAGACCUUGCGCGAAUGGAGCGGCCGAUGGCAGAUUAGGUAGUUGGUGAGGUAAAGGCUCACCAAGCCUUCGAUCUGUAGCUGGUCUGAGAGGACGACCAGCCACACUGGGACUGAGACACGGCCCAGACUCCUACGGGAGGCAGCAGUGGGGAAUUUUGGACAAUGGGCGAAAGCCUGAUCCAGCCAUGCCGCGUGCAGGAUGAAGGCCUUCGGGUUGUAAACUGCUUUUGUACGGAACGAAACGGUCUUUUCUAAUAAAGAAGGCUAAUGACGGUACCGUAAGAAUAAGCACCGGCUAACUACGUGCCAGCAGCCGCGGUAAUACGUAGGGUGCAAGCGUUAAUCGGAAUUACUGGGCGUAAAGCGUGCGCAGGCGGUGAUGUAAGACAGUUGUGAAAUCCCCGGGCUCAACCUGGGAACUGCAUCUGUGACUGCAUCGCUGGAGUACGGCAGAGGGGGAUGGAAUUCCGCGUGUAGCAGU